AAUAAAGAUUCACAAAGGCCCAAAAGCCCAAAUCCCUUAUGUGGCCGGCCAUGUGUGUUGAAUUAAGGUUUUUGGUUCUUUAGGUCAUUUAAAGAAGUGACUAUAUAAAGAACUUUAUAGCCUAAAAUUCAUUAAGGGUUUCUUUUAGGAAAUUGGAGAGAACACAAAGCUCUCCUUUCUCUCUAAAGAGGCCGGCCUCCUUGGAGGGUGUAGCUAGCAAUCCCACUCCUCCAAGGUCACUCAUUUCUUCUCCAAUCUAACCUUGGUGUAGACACUUAGAGGUUCUCAAUUUUGGGAACUUGGAGAACCAUAUUCUUCCAUCCAAAACCAUGGAUCUAAGAAGCAAGGAAUGAAGGCCCUCUCUUUGGGUGAUUAGCCUUUGCUUAUGCAAAGAGGAAUCU
rnacentral:lncRNA from 1 species